rnacentral:rRNA from 1 species
AGAGUUUGAUCCUGGCUCAGAGCGAACGCUGGCGGAAUGCUUAACACAUGCAAGUCGCACGGCUCUUUCGGGGGCAGUGGCGGACGGGUGAGUAACGCGUAGGAACGUGUCCUGGACUGGGGGAUAACGCUGGGAAACUGGCGCUAAUACCGCAUAUCUCCUGAGGGAGAAAGCCGCGNNGCGGUUUGGGAGCGGCCUGCGUCCGAUUAGCUUGUUGGUUAGGUAAUGGCUGACCAAGGCGAUGAUCGGUAGCUGGUCUGAGAGGAUGAUCAGCCACACUGGGACUGAGACACGGCCCAGACUCCUACGGGAGGCAGCAGUGGGGAAUAUUGGACAAUGGGCGCAAGCCUGAUCCAGCAAUUCCGCGUGGGUGAAGAAGGUCUUCGGAUUGUAAAGCCCUUUCGGCGGGGACGAUGAUGACGGUACCCGCAGAAGAAGCCCCGGCUAACUUCGUGCCAGCAGCCGCGGUAAUACGAAGGGGGCUAGCGUUGCUCGGAAUGACUGGGCGUAAAGGGCGCGUAGGCGGCACGGACAGUCAGGCGUGAAAUUCCUGGGCUUAACCUGGGGGCUGCGUUUGAUACGUUCGAGCUAGAGGAUGGAAGAGGCUCGUGGAAUUCCCAGUGUAGAGGUGAAAUUCGUAGAUAUUGGGAAGAACACCGGUGGCGAAGGCGGCGAGCUGGUCCAUUACUGACGCUGAGGCGCGAAAGCGUGGGGAGCAAACAGGAUUAGAUACCCUAGUAGUCC